UUUAUGGAGAGUUUGAUCCUGGCUCAGAGUGAACGCUGGCGGCGUGCCUAAUACAUGCAAGUCGAACGAUGAAGCUUCUAGCUUGCUAGAAUGCUGAUUAGUGGCGCACGGGUGAGUAACGCAUAGGUCAUGUGCCUCUUAGUUUGGGAUAGCCAUUGGAAACGAUGAUUAAUACCAGAUACUCCCUACGGGGGAAAGAUUUAUCGCUAAGAGAUCAGCCUAUGUCCUAUCAGCUUGUUGGUAAGGUAAUGGCUUACCAAGGCUAUGACGGGUAUCCGGCCUGAGAGGGUGAACGGACACACUGGAACUGAGACACGGUCCAGACUCCUACGGGAGGCAGCAGUAGGGAAUAUUGCUCAAUGGGGGAAACCCUGAAGCAGCAACGCCGCGUGGAGGAUGAAGGUUUUAGGAUUGUAAACUCCUUUUGUUAGAGAAGAUAAUGACGGUAUCUAACGAAUAAGCACCGGCUAACUCCGUGCCAGCAGCCGCGGUAAUACGGAGGGUGCAAGCGUUACUCGGAAUCACUGGGCGUAAAGAGCGCGUAGGCGGGAUAGUCAGUCAGGUGUGAAAUCCUAUGGCUUAACCAUAGAACUGCAUUUGAAACUACUAUUCUAGAGUGUGGGAGAGGUAGGUGGAAUUCUUGGUGUAGGGGUAAAAUCCGUAGAGAUCAAGAGGAAUACUCAUUGCGAAGGCGACCUGCUGGAACAUUACUGACGCUGAUUGCGCGAAAGCGUGGGGAGCAAACAGGAUUAGAUACCCUGGUAGUCCACGCCCUAAACGAUGGAUGCUAGUUGUUGGAGGGCUUAGUCUCUCCAGUAAUGCAGCUAACGCAUUAAGCAUCCCGCCUGGGGAGUACGGUCGCAAGAUUAAAACUCAAAGGAAUAGACGGGGACCCGCACAAGCGGUGGAGCAUGUGGUUUAAUUCGAAGAUACACGAAGAACCUUACCUAGGCUUGACAUUGAGAGAAUCCGCUAGAAAUAGUGGAGUGUCUGGCUUGCCAGACCUUGAAAACAGGUGCUGCACGGCUGUCGUCAGCUCGUGUCGUGAGAUGUUGGGUUAAGUCCCGCAACGAGCGCAACCCCCUUUCUUAGUUGCUAACAGGUCAUGCUGAGAACUCUAAGGAUACUGCCUCCGUAAGGAGGAGGAAGGUGGGGACGACGUCAAGUCAUCAUGGCCCUUACGCCUAGGGCUACACACGUGCUACAAUGGGGUGCACAAAGAGAAGCAAUACUGCGAAGUGGAGCCAAUCUUCAAAACACCUCUCAGUUCGGAUUGUAGGCUGCAACUCGCCUGCAUGAAGCUGGAAUCGCUAGUAAUCGCAAAUCAGCCAUGUUGCGGUGAAUACGUUCCCGGGUCUUGUACUCACCGCCCGUCACACCAUGGGAGUUGUGUUUGCCUUAAGUCAGGAUGCUAAAUUAGCUACUGCCCACGGCACACACAGCGACUGGGGUGAAGUCGUAACAAGGUAACCGUAGGUGAACCUGCGGUUGGAUCACCUCCUUU
rnacentral:rRNA from 1 species